UUGACCUCGGAUCAGGUAGGAAUACCCGCUGAACUUAAGCAUAUCAAUAAGCGGAGGAAAAGAAACCAACAGGGAUUGCCCUAGUAACGGCGAGUGAAGCGGCAACAGCUCAAAUUUGAAAUCUGGCUCUCGGGCCCGAGUUGUAAUUUGUAGAGGAUACUUUUGAUGCGGUGCCUUCCGAGUUCCCUGGAACGGGACGCCAUAGAGGGUGAGAGCCCCGUCUGGUUGGAUGCCAAAUCUCUGUAAAGUUCCUUCAACGAGUCGAGUAGUUUGGGAAUGCUGCUCUAAAUGGGAGGUAUAUGUCUUCUAAAGCUAAAUACCGGCCAGAGACCGAUAGCGCACAAGUAGAGUGAUCGAAAGAUGAAAAGCACUUUGAAAAGAGAGUUAAAAAGUACGUGAAAUUGUUGAAAGGGAAGCGUUUAUGACCAGACUUGGGCUUGGUUAAUCAUCUGGGGUUCUCCCCAGUGCACUUUUCCAGUCCAGGCCAGCAUCAGUUUUCCCCGGGGGAUAAAGGCGGCGGGAAUGUGGCUCUCUUCGGGGAGUGUUAUAGCCCACCGUGUAAUACCCUGGGGGGGACUGAGGUUCGCGCAUCUGCAAG
rnacentral:rRNA from 1 species